ensembl:lncRNA
AAAACGUCUUCCUGUUGUUGUCAUCGUUGUUCUUCUUCUUCCUCUUGAUCGAGUCUGUGGUAGGGCUUCGCCGAGGACUGUUGACUGACGUUACACUGGGAAUCAGAGUUAUCUAUAAUCUGUCCACGGCGAUCCAACCUGGGACCCGUUACAGAUUCUUGGGGGCUCGUCCGGGAUCGGCGCCACCUUCUGGCCGGACGCUGAUCCAUCCUAAUGACAUCUGGGACCAAUGACCAACGCAGACGCUGACGUGUGUGGAGGCCUGCUGUGAACGUGAACGAGUGGAGAACCCUGUCCCAGAACAGAGACUGCAUUACCGAACUGUAUAACCUAUCGUGAGGUAGGAGAGGAGCAACUAUGGCUGACAGUGGAAGGAAGCACCUAGUGUGGGACAUUAGGAAGAGUCUACUCGCCUUGUCAGGAGAAGAGCUCUACCAACUUACCAAGACCGUGGGUCCAGUGUCGGGCAAAGAACAGUCCGAGCUUGAGGAGGGAGACCCGGAGGGAUGUUUCGAAUACAUCAACGCGUUCAUGACCUGGAGAACAUAGGGAUGACCCCAGUAGGAGCAUGGUUUUAAUGGAAG